rnacentral:rRNA from 1 species
CCCAUGUGAACCAUACCAAACUGUUGCCUCGGCGGGGUCACGCCCCGGGUGCGUCGCAGCCCCGGAACCAGGCGCCCGCCGGAGGGACCAACCAAACUCUUUCUGUAGUCCCCUCGCGGACGUUAUUUCUUACAGCUCUGAGCAAAAAUUCAAAAUGAAUCAAAACUUUCAACAACGGAUCUCUUGGUUCUGGCAUCGAUGAAGAACGCAGCGAAAUGCGAUAAGUAAUGUGAAUUGCAGAAUUCAGUGAAUCAUCGAAUCUUUGAACGCACAUUGCGCCCGCCAGUAUUCUGGCGGGCAUGCCUGUCCGAGCGUCAUUUCAACCCUCGAACCCCUCCGGGGGUCCGGCGUUGGGGAUCGGGAACCCCUAAGACGGGAUCCCGGCCCCGAAAUACAGUGGCGGUCUCGCCGCAGCCUCUCAUGCGCAGUAGUUUGCACAACUCGCACCGGGAGCGCGGCGCGUCCACGUCCGUAAAACACCCAACUUCUGAAAUGUUGACCUCGGAUCAGGUAGGAAUACCCGCUGAACUUAAGCAUAUCAAUAAGCGGGGGAAAAAGAAA